GUCAGAACCACGUGCUGGACACGCCAGAACCACCUCCGGGACAGACCAGAACCACCUACCGGACCUCCCUGAACCACCUGCCGAGCAUGCCGGAACCACCUGCCCGACAAACCAAAAUCAAGUGCCGGAGACGCCGGAAGCACAUGCCGAGCACGCCGGCACCACCUGCUCGUCUAGCCGGAACCACCUGCCGGACACGAAAAAACCACCUGCCGGCUACGACAGAACCACUUGUUGGUCACUCUGGAAUCACCUGCUGGGCAUGCUGGAACCACCUCUCAGACGUGCCGGAACCACGUGCCAAAGACACCGGAAGCACCUGCCGAUCACACCGGAACCACCUGCUCAAUUCGCCAGAACCACCUGUUGGACACGCCAAAAUCAACAGCCGGCUAUGCCAGAACCACUUGGUGGACUCUCGGGAAUCCCCUGCCGGGCAUGCCACCUCUCAUACGUGCCGGAACCAUGUUCCUUACACGCUGGAACCACCUCCAGGACAGACCGGAACUACCCGCCAGACCUGCCUGAACCACCUGUCAAGCACACCGGAACCGCCUGUCGGACACGUCAAAAUCACCUGCGAACUACGCCAGAACCACUUGGAGGACUCUCCAGGAUCACCUGCCGAGUAUGCCGGAACCACCUGAUCCACUCCCCAGAACCACCUGCCGGACACGCCAAAAUCACCUGCUGGCUACUCCAGAACGACUUGGCAGACACUCCGGAAUCAACUGCCGGGCAUGCCGGAACCACCUCUGAGACGUGCCAGAACUACGUGCCGGACACGCCGGAACAAUCUACCAGACACAAUGGAACCACCUGCCGGACACGCCAGAACCACCUGCCGAGCAUGCAGGAACCACCUGCUCGACUCGCAGGACCCACUUACCGGACAUGCCAAAAUCACAUGCCGGCUGCACCAGAACCACUUGUCGGACACUCCGGAAUCACCUGCCAGGCAUGCUGGAACCACCUCUCAGACCUGCCAGAACCACGUGGCGGACAUGCAGGAACCACCUACCGGACAGUCCAGAAUCACUUGCAGGACACGCUGGAACCACCUGCCGAGCACGCCAGACCCACUUGCUCGACUCACAGGAACCACCUGCAAGAGACGCCAAAAUCACCUGCCAGACACGCCAAAAUAACCUGCCGCCUACGCCAGAAAAACUUGCAAGACACUGCAGAGUCACCUGUCGGGCAUGCUGGAACCACCUGUCAGACGUGCCAGAAACACGUGCCGGAGACGCCGGAACCACCUACCGGACACAACGGAACCACCUGCCGGACACGCCUGAACCACGCCCCGAGCAUGCAGGAACCACCUGCUCGACUCUCAGGACCCCGCUGCCGGACAUGCAAAAAUCACCUGCUGGCUAUGCCAGAACCACUUGCCGGCCAUUCCGGAAUCACCUGCCGGGAAUGCCAGACCCACCUCUCAAAUGUGCCCAAAUCAAGUGCCG
rnacentral:lncRNA from 1 species